rnacentral:rRNA from 1 species
UACGUAGGUGGCAAGCGUUGUCCGGAUUUACUGGGCGUAAAGAGCGCGCAGGCGGUCGUUCAAGUCGCGUGUGAAAGCCCCCGGCUCAACUGGGGAGGGUCACGCGAUACUGAUCGACUCGAAGGCAGGAGAGGGUAGUGGAAUUCCCGGUGUAGUGGUGAAAUGCGUAGAUAUCGGGAGGAACACCAGUGGCGAAGGCGACUACCUGGCCUGUUCUUGACGCUGAGGCGCGAAAGCUAGGGGAGCAAACGAG